rnacentral:rRNA from 1 species
AUUGAACGCUGGCGGCAGGCCUAACACAUGCAAGUCGAACGGUAACAGGAAGCAGCUUGCUGCUUCGCUGACGAGUGGCGGACGGGUGAGUAAUGUCUGGGAAGCUGCCUGAUGGAGGGGGAUAACUACUGGAAACGGUAGCUAAUACCGCAUAAUGUCGCAAGACCAAAGAGGGGGACCUUCGGGCUCUUGCCAUCGGAUGUGCCCAGAUGGGAUUAGCUUGUUGGUGGGGUAACGGCCCACCAAGGCGACGAUCCCUAGCUGGUCUGAGAGGAUGACCAGCCACACUGGGACUGAGACACGGUCCAGACUCCUACGGGAGGCAGCAGUGGGGAAUAUUGCACAAUGGGCGCAAGCCUGAUGCAGCCAUGCCGCGUGUAUGAAGAAGGCCUUCGGGUUGUAAAGUACUUUCAGCGGGGAGGAAGGGAGUAAAGUUAAUACCUUUGCUCAUUGACGUUACCCGCAGAAGAAGCACCGGCUAACUCCGUG